rnacentral:lncRNA from 1 species
AUGCUGGCCCCACAGGCCCGGCCGGAGAGGGUGGCAGGAGCUGCCCACCCCCGGCCCUCCCCCCGCCCAGGGAGCCGCCGCGGGCCAGGGGGACUCAGGGUGGGGAGCGGGGGGCGCAGCCCAGCGCCCGAGUUUUCUAAAUCGCUGCCUCUAUCUUCCCAGACCGCCACCCGGAGCGGGCUUCCCGCUCCAAACCGGACCCCCUGGAGUCUCCCCGUUGUGCAUGUGAACUCAGUGAGGCCCGCAGCGUGGCAGGGCCGGGGGCGGGGGCGGGGGCGGAAGAACAGCUGGAAACGCCAGCGUGCCCCAGGGUCAAGCUGCGACGCAGGAAGGAGUGAAGCACGGAGCCGGGAGUUGGACGCAGUGGUCAACCUCUCUGACCCUCAGUUUCUUCUUCUGUAUGAUGGGCCAGCAUCAUCGCUCUGGGGCAGGUGUAUGAGAACCAUACAGACGGGUGCACGCCAAGUGCUGAGCCUGAGCCCAAAGCAGCCAGUAGGUGCUCCAGGAAGAGGGAGGGUGUCAGGCCCCCUUACUCCUCCCGGCAGAGAGGAGGACUUGCUGGGGUGGGGAAGGUCUUUAGGCCUUAGGCUAAACGGCCUGUGAUGGCUGGGCCCUGGGGCAGCUAAGGACACUCCUCUUGCCGGAUGCUUUCCCAUGGCCACUACUUGUCCAGCGAGGCCUGGGGGAGGCCGGGCAGAGGGGUGCCAUGAACUGGGGGCGGGGGGGGUGCCUAUGAAGGUGUAUGAGCUGUACAGGAGUGGCUAAUAGCCUGGCCUGGCCCGGCCUGGAAAGGCUUGUGUUUCUGACAAACGGGGCCAGCCAAGCUGGGCCCCGCUGUCCUGUCCUGGCUGCCCUGUCCCUGGGGCGAGGGUCACUCCAGGUGAGUCUCAGGGCCGGCAUGUUCAACAGGACACAGGCCUGCCGGUUGCCUGGCCUCAGACUCCAGGUGGCCAGGUCCACAGGCAGCUUCCGUGGGCGGCGAGGACAUGCUGGAUGGUGCAUGCCACCCAGUCAGUCCUGGAGCCCUGCCCGCGGAGCUCGAUGCAGAGGGCUCCAGAGGGCCAGCCAAGCCAGCAGGGAGGAAUCGGGGGAGGGUGUGGGGUCAAGAAGGGGCCUUCGGGAAGGGAGAGGAAGAGAAAGUAAAACGAGAGUCUGCUUUUCCUCCCGAGACUUAGGGGCACCCACAGGUGGGCGCCGCACCGGGGCGCUCCGAUGAAAGCCACCAGGACCCUGAUAGGGACGGAAGACCUCCAGAGGCAGUGAGGUUAAGGGACUAGGUCCAGGCUGACCCAGCUAAGGACAAGCAUGAGCAAGAGAGAAUUGUCAGAAGCGUGGCCAGGGGACCACAGAGUAGGAAGGGGCCAGGAAGCAGCCCAAGUGAAGGGGAGGCCCUUGGAGUAGGAAGGAGGGGCAGGGGCUUCCGGAGAGGGUAGUGGUCCCCGCAGAGAGAAGUACAUGUCAGCCAGGUGGGGCCAGCCUGGAGGCAGGACCAUUGGUAAGACAUUGCUCUUGGGUGCCCUCUAGUGGGGACAGUCUUCCCUGGCGAAGUGACAUCCCCACAGGAUGCCCGGGGGACCGGCUCCAUUCUCCCUGUACCAAGCCCAGAGUUUCAUAGGCACGCCCCGUUCAUGGCACCCCUUUCUCAACCCACCCUCACUGCCGCAGGCCCUGCCUCCCCCAGGCCUUGCUGGAAAAGAAGCAGCUGUGGGAAAGCAUCCAGCAAGAGGAGCGUCCUUAGCUGCCCAGGGCCCAGCCGUCACCCACCCACUGAACUCUCCAGAGGCAGCCUCCCAGCCACCCUACUGGGGUGAACAUUUCUCCGCCCCUUUUCCCGAUGAGGAAACUGAGGUCUGGAGAGUACCGGGAACGCCCACCUCUCAUGCCCACGAAUGCACCAUGGAACUGAGCACCCUGAGUCUGGACACCCAGGUAGAUGCAGAUGAGGCUGAGAAUGUGGGUUUAUUAGUCUUCCCACUGGUGAAAGCAGCCCCUCCUCCAGCAUCUGAUGAAUCCAGCCUUCUCUGGCUGGAAGGUGCUCCAACACCCUCACCUGAACGGACCCCUGUUACAGGCUUUAGCUCCACCAUCCCUGUGGCCUUCGGCCCCAGAACCAGGGUCUGAUUUCAGCACGCCCCAGGGGCUCAGUGGUCAAAGUUGACCCCAGAGGAAACAGCUUACACUCCAAGAGAAAGACAGAUGUUGCUAGUUUCCAUCAACAGGAAGCUUGGGCUCCAUGGAGAUGGGCUCUACCAGUGUCUGCAGAGACGACACAGGGGGACUGCGCCACUGGACUGGGCUGGAUUUACGGACGUGAGUGUGCAUCCCAGAGUCAGGAUGUAACGAGUCAGCUGGUGCAGCUCAAAGGGCCUCCAACAAUUUGCUUGGUCUGUUGUCUGAAGUUAAAUCCCAUCCCAUCAGUGGUCUACAUUCAUUUAGGCAGGCAUGAGAGAAUUUCCCAGGCAUGAUGGGAGGAAGAAUCAGAAGAAAGUGAUUCAGCACGUGUGACUUGCAUGCCUCUGAGAAAUACAUCAGCAAGGCAAUGCUAGCGUGCCCGGGCUCCAGCAACCAUCCUCUCUGGGCUGCCGUGAGGGGGCGGCGCUCCACUGCCAUGGGCUUCUGAUCCCAGGGGCUGAUGCCAUCCUGAAGGGCAGAGUCCAAGCACCGGCCCUUAAGUGCUAGAGUUAAGUUGGGAAAGUGACACAGAGGUGGGGCUAUUUCCAGAAAGUUCUGGCCUGCAGGAAUUUUGGAUGGCAGCUAAUGGAUCGUGGUGUCCUUAGGAAUGAAGUAGAUUUGCCACAUACUAACUGAUCACUUGCGUUACAAAAUUGGAAAACUGGAGAUCUGCUGGGCAGAAAUCCCACUGGAGUCCAUACACCCUAGAGUUUCUAGGGUUGAGGCAUGUAAGUAUUCAACAUAUAAUAAAGAAAUACCUUUGUUGGUCA